UUUGACCAAUGAAAGUGAAAAGAAGUUGCCAUGACUACAGCUGAGUCACAACAACCCAGUCUGAAGUACGGCAUUUAUGUGUGAUAAAGUUGAGCAAUAAAGAGUAAGAUCCAGAACAGCGCCAGACGGCAGAAUAAAGUUCAGAGAUGGCUUCACCACAGCCUGGUCCGGUUGAAGAAGGAAAAGUCUGAGAUUUUGAAGACUGAGAAGGUCGUUACUGGAAAGAACAAAUUUAUCAAACUGCUUGCAGACAAGUAUGAGGCAGAAAUUUGCAGCCAUGAAGCACUUAUCAUGGAUUUUGAGAAGAAAUCUGCAGAUGCAAAAACCCAUUUUGCAGAAGCUACAAAGGCUAAAGCAGAGUUGGAUGCUGUGAUUGAGAAGCUAACUGGUGGGACACUUGAAAGUGAAUUCGCUGAGGUAGAGGCAAUCCUGAAUAAUUAUAAGAGUUACAAGAACCUUCUUUUCAAUCUGUUGCUUCCACAGACAGUAGUUAGCAAGGGUCCGGAGAGAGAUUUGGAGUCCAGUCCACGUCGAGUGCUGCCUUCCACCAAAAACCCCACACUGUCCUCAGCCUCCAGCAACACUCUGGUUGCAGAUUCUACCCUGGAUGUGAGCAGCACAGAAUAUGAGGAGUACUAUUCGAAUCCCCAGCAGCUGAUGAGUCUGCUAUCAGACUUGACAAACCAGAACCUGUCACAGAUUAAGAACUCCACCGCUAUGGAUAACGUGCUGGAGCACGCCGUUGAGUUAGCCUCAGAGAAAAUGUGAGAAUCGUAUACAGUAUAUCUUGAGAAAA